rnacentral:rRNA from 1 species
GACGAACGCUGGCGGCGUGCUUAACACAUGCAAGUCGAACGGUAAGGCCCUUCGGGGUACACGAGUGGCGAACGGGUGAGUAACACGUGGGUGAUCUGCCCUGCACUUCGGGAUAAGCCUGGGAAACUGGGUCUAAUACCGGAUAGGACCACUGCCUGCAUGGGUGGUGGUGGAAAGCUUUUGCGGUGUGGGAUGGGCCCGCGGCCUAUCAGCUUGUUGGUGGGGUGAUGGCCUACCAAGGCGACGACGGGUAGCCGGCCUGAGAGGGUGACCGGCCACACUGGGACUGAGAUACGGCCCAGACUCCUACGGGAGGCAGCAGUGGGGAAUAUUGCACAAUGGGCGCAAGCCUGAUGCAGCGACGCCGCGUGAGGGAUGACGGCCUUCGGGUUGUAAACCUCUCUCAGCACAGACGAAGCGCAAGUGACGGUAUGUGCAGAAGAAGGACCGGCCAACUACGUGCCAGCAGCCGCAGUAA